GACGAACGCUGGCGGCGUGCUUAACACAUGCAAGUCGAACGGAAAGGCCCUGCUUUUGUGGGGUGCUCGAGUGGCGAACGGGUGAGUAACACGUGAGUAACCUGCCCUUGACUUUGGGAUAACUUCAGGAAACUGGGGCUAAUACCGGAUAGGAGCUCCUGCUGCAUGGUGGGGGUUGGAAAGUUUCGGCGGUUGGGGAUGGACUCGCGGCUUAUCAGCUUGUUGUGGGGUAGUGGCUUACCAAGGCUUUGACGGGUAGCCGGCCUGAGAGGGUGACCGGCCACAUUGGGACUGAGAUACGUCCCAGACUCCUACGGGAGGCAGCAGUGGGGAAUAUUGCACAAUGGGCGGAAGCCUGAUGCAGCAACGCCGCGUGCGGGAUGACGGCCUUCGGGUUGUAAACCGCUUUCGCCUGUGACGAAGCGUGAGUGACGGUAAUGGGUAAAGAAGCACCGGCUAACUACGUG
rnacentral:rRNA from 1 species